rnacentral:rRNA from 1 species
UACAGAGGUCUCAAGCGUUGUUCGGAUUCAUUGGGCGUAAAGGGUGCGUAGGCGGCGCGGUAAGUCGGGUGUGAAAUCUCGGAGCUUAACUCCGAAACUGCAUUCGAUACUGCCGGGCUUGAGGACUGGAGAGGAGACUGGAAUUUACGGUGUAGCGGUGAAAUGCGUAGAUAUCGUAAGGAAGACCAGUGGCGAAGGCGGGUCUCUGGACAGUUCCUGACGCUGAGGCACGAAGGUCAGGGGAGCAAACGGG